UGUCACAUGAUGGCAGCUCAUACUAAUUAGUAAUUACUUAACUUCUAGUCGAAGGAAAUUUUAACACAGAAACAAUCUUUCAAAUUGAUUUUUUUAAGUAAAUACGUUUAUAAUUAUCAUGGGUCGGUAAAGCGAGCCGGUCGGCUCUGGCGGGCAUAAUCCUGGCUGCGAUCUUGACACGCAAGCACGACACGCACGUGGCGGCACCAUGAGCGAACAUCAUCACCACCGCACACAGAGCAACGAAACCCAGAGCUGAACCUGAAAAAUAUCAAUUCGUAAUCAACGAAUUAGGCAAUUACUAAAACGAUCACUCUACAGAUCAUCGUCAUCUUAUAGAGCUGGUCGGAACUGAGAGCAGUUUUAGUGGAAAAAUGUCUACAACUUAUCAUAAGGGCUAGUUGAAUUUUUUUGCUCACCCUUUCCCGUGACGCUGUCAAAUCAAUAGGGCUAACAGCUACAGUCAAAUCGAAACUAAAAAAGAGUUUUUUUAUAUACACAAUUCCAUCAAGUUAUUUAGUAUGCUUUCUAAGAAUUAAAAAUGUGUUUUGGUUGAUUGUUAUUGUAUAUUGUUUACAUAAAUAAAACUAUCACGUUGCAGAAGUUUGUUUUGUAAAAAAAAUGUCUACUAAGGAUAUCAUAUGCAUUUCCAUGCACGGAAACACGUGUGCUGGUUAUUUGAGCAACUCAAUUGUAUUGUAUUUUUUAUAAUAAAAUGUAGUAACGAC